rnacentral:rRNA from 1 species
CCUACGGGCGGCAGCAGUAGGGAAUAUUGCUCAAUGGGGGAAACCCUGAAGCAGCAACGCCGCGUGGAGGAUGAAGGUUUUCGGAUUGUAAACUCCUUUUGUUAGAGAAGAUAAUGACGGUAUCUAACGAAUAAGCCCCGGCUACCUCCGUGCCAGCAGCCGCGGUAAUACGGAGGGUGCAAGCGUUACUCGGAAUCACUGGGCGUAAAGCGCGCGUAGGCGGGAUAGCAAGUCAGAUGUGAAAUCCUAUGGCUUAACCACAGAACUGCAUUUGAAACUGUUAUUCUAGAGUAUGGGAGAGGUAGGUGGAAUUCUUGGUGUAGGGGUAAAAUCCGUAGAGAUCAAGAGGAAUACUCAUUGCGAAGGCGACCUGCUAGAACAUAACUGACGCUGAUGCGCGAAAGCGUGGGGAGCAAACAGGAUUAGAUACCCGAGUAGUC